CAUUGGAUCACCUAAAGCUAGAGGUAUAUCUCUAUAAAUUACGCAAACCUAGGAUUCCUACCAUUUGAUCUAAAAUGCACAAUCUUCUCUCGAACGAUGUACACUUCACGAAACACAUUCAUUCAUUGGCCACAUAAAUGAAAAUGCAAUAAAUACAAUAAUAGAAACACAUGAAAGAAGCAACUUAACAUUAAAGAGCAAAUAUUGAAAAUCAAUUAAAACUAGGUUAAACUAACACCAUAAAUCCCAACUCAAUACUUAGCCCAUGUUAAAUAAAUGAUAAUCAAGGAGAAUAUUCAUCCAAUGUAUUACAAAUAUGGCUAAAUAAUGGAGAAAAUACAAAGAUAUAGAUAAAACCCUUUUUUGUAGCUUAAUCUUGAUUUUCCCAAAAUCCUUGCCAAAUCCUUUGGUACCUCCUUGUGCUCUAUGAUUUGUUCUCCAAAAUACCAAGUAAAAUGAAAAGAAAAAAGAAAAUAAAAACAAAAUAAAAAGGAAAGAACCAGCAGAAGACGGAACCCAGAAAAUGAAGCUGCGUGAAG
rnacentral:lncRNA from 1 species